CAACAUGCUGAAAGUAUUUUUCCGAAAAAGGCGUUCACAAGGUAGGCGAGACGAAAAGAGAAAGAAAAGAUAGAUCACAUAUAUAUUCUUGUAAUAUACUUGUACAAUUUUGUACAUUUUGCCAUGUUUUGUACCUUCCAA
rnacentral:ribozyme from 1 species